rnacentral:sRNA from 1 species
AUGUACCACUUGUACAUUCCGGUUUCUGCGCUGCUCUUCACCCUGCUGACGGCCGCUCGCUACAGAUCUUGAGCC